GGAAGCUUGGCAGAGUUGGUCGAUUGCACUUCAUUGCUAAUGAAGCAAACGUGAAAGCGUUUCGUAGGUUCAAAUCCUACAGCUUCCG
rnacentral:tRNA from 1 species